AGAGGCAAAUGUAGCCAAGAACGACUUGCCGAUGAUACUUACUGAUAAGGCUUUGGAGCUUUGUUUCUCCCUAAGCAUACCAAAUUAUACACCGCGGCAAGUCAUCCUUGGCUGCGUUCAACUCUCU
rfam:Morus notabilis contig25314, whole genome shotgun sequence.